AUCAAAAACCACAAUGGGUUACUACCUCACACUACUCAGAAUGGCUAAAAUUAACUCAGGAAACAACAGAUGACAGUGCAGAUGCCUAA